UACAGAGGUGGCAAGCGUUGUCCGGAAUCAUUGGGCGUAAAGAGCGUGUAGGCGGCUCGAUAAGUCUGCUGUGAAAGUCCAGGGCUCAACCCUGGAAGGCCGGUGGAAACUGUCGGGCUAGAGUCCGGAAGAGGCGAGUGGAAUUCCCGGUGUAGCGGUGAAAUGCGCAGAUAUCAGGAGGAACACCAAUGGCGAAGGCAGCUCGCUGGGACGUGACUGACGCUGAGACGCGAAAGCGUGGGGAGCAAACAGG
rnacentral:rRNA from 1 species